rnacentral:rRNA from 1 species
UUGAAAGGGAAACGAUUGAAGUCAGUCGUACCAGCGGGAAAUCAACCUUUCGAGUGGGGGUUUUGGAGUUUUUUGAAGAGUGUCAAAACCUUUGAGAUUUCAAAAUAUUCGCUCUUUUGGUGUACUUUCUCGUGGGUAGGUUAACAUCGAUUUCGAUCAUCAUAAAAGGAUUGGAGGAAUGUAGCUUCGAUCUUGUAUUGAAGUGUUAUAGCCUUUGGUAAAUGUGAUGAUUAGGAUCGAGGAUUGCAACGAAUACCCUUUUGGGCUAUCCGCCUGAUCUCUGAUACGUGGCCUUGGCAUCGAAAGCUUGCUUAUGGUAUCAAGGUAUUACGGUCAAAAGGUUAGAACGGAUUACAUUCGUUAAGGAUGUUGACGUA